rnacentral:rRNA from 1 species
UUAGAGUUUGAUCCUGGCUCAGGAUGAACGCUAGCGGCAGGCUUAACACAUGCAAGUCGAGGGGCAGCGAGGGUGAUAGCAAUAUUACCUGUCGGCGACCGGCGCACGGGUGCGUAACGCGUAUGCAACCUACCAUCAACAGGGGGAUAACACUGAGAAAUUGGUACGAAUACCCCAUAAUAUCUCAUGCGGCAUCGCAUGGGGUUGAAAACUCCGGUGGUUGAUGAUGGGCAUGCGUUGUAUUAGCUGGUUGGUGAGGUAACGGCUCACCAAGGCGACGAUACAUAGGGGGACUGAGAGGUUAACCCCCCACAUUGGUACUGAGACACGGACCAAACUCCUACGGGAGGCAGCAGUGAGGAAUAUUGGUCAAUGGACGCAAGUCUGAACCAGCCACGCCGCGUGCAGGAUGACGGCUCUAUGAGUUGUAAACUGCUUUUGUACGAGGGUAAACCCCGAUACGUGUAUUGGGUUGAAAGUAUCGUACGAAUAAGGAUCGGCUAACUCCGUGCCAGCAGCCGCGGUAAUACGGAGGAUCCGAGCGUUAUCCGGAUUUAUUGGGUUUAAAGGGUGCGUAGGCGGUUUGAUAAGUUAGAGGUGAAAUGUCGGGGCUCAACCCCGAAACUGCCUCUAAUACUGUUGGACUAGAGAAUAGUUGCGGUAGGCGGAAUGUAUGGUGUAGCGGUGAAAUGCUUAGAGAUCAUACAGAACACCGAUUGCGAAGGCAACUUACCAAACUAUAUCUGACGUUGAGGCCCGAAAGCGUGGGGAGCGAACAGGAUUAGAUACUCUGGUAGUCCACGCCGUAAACGAUGUAUACCAGGUGUCGGAUAUCAAGGAUAUCCGGUGCCGAAGCAAACGCAUUAAGUAUACCACCUGGGGAGUACGUUCGCAAGAAUGAAACUCAAAGGAAUUGACGGGGACCCGCGCAAGCGGUGGAGCAUGUGGUUUAAUUCGAAGCAACGCGAAGGACCUUACCAAGUCUUGACAUCCCGGUGACGCAGGAGUAACAUUCUGUUCCCUACGGGGCACCGGAGACAGGUGGUGCAUGGUUGUCGUCAGCUCGUGUCGUGAGAUGUUGGGUUAAGUCCCGCAACGAGCGCAACCCCUAUUUCCAGUAGCCAGCAGGUAGAGCUGGGCACUCUGGAGAGACUGCCCGGGAUAACCGGGAGGAAGGCGGGGACGACGUCAAAUCAUCAUGCCCCUUAUGAUCAGGGCUACACACGUGCUACAAUGGCGUAAACAAAGGGAGGCGAAGGAGCGAUCUGGAGCGAACCCCAAAAAUAACGUCUCAGUUCGGAUUGCAGGCUGCAACCCGCCUGCAUGAAGCCGGAAUCGCUAGUAAUCGCAGAUCAGAAUGCUGCGGUGAAUAAAUCCCGGGUCUUGCACACACCGCCCGUCAAG